UACGAAGGGUGCAAACGUUGCUCGGAAUUAUUGGGCGUAAAGCGCACGUAGGCGGCUCUGUAAGUCGGAUGUGAAAUCCCUCGGCUCAACCAAGGAAGUGCAUUCGAAACUGCGGAGCUUGAGUAGUUAAGAGGAUCGCGGAAUUCCCGGUGUAGAGGUGAAAUUCGUAGAUAUCGGGAGGAACACCAGUGGCGAAGGCGGCGAUCUGGGAACAUACUGACGCUGAGGUGCGAAAGCGUGGGGAGCAAACAGG
rnacentral:rRNA from 1 species